GUGAGGCAGGCAGAGAGAUAGGCUUCCAGAAUCAAAUUCCCAGUGUCCAAGGGCCCUGGGGUGUGUGAAUACAGCUCUAUCUGAAUUUGGCCAUCUUCCCUGUGAGUAGAGAUUCUUUGGGUAAUAAAAUAACAGAAGUGGAAGGACUGUGUAUAUCAAAGACUCUGCUUUGAUAAGAUUCCUGUCACCCAACAAUUCCUAUCAAAUGGACAGGAGCAGUUUCUGCUUAUCCCUGAGUCACGGAUGCCAGGUCCCUGCCAGCCAGUGAAACUAUUCAAGUCAGCUAAUCAUGUUCUCCCAUGGGAAGGACGGAUGCCUCACCUACAAAGCCUGUCUCCCAACCUCUGGUGGUUCGCUAUCUCUGAAUACAACCUUCACGCAGUCCCACUUGGGAUACAGCGUCCUCCAGGCUAACACGAAACAGAACAUGGAAGGGAAGAAGGGAAGCCUGAGUAGCAGCCUCCAUGACAUUUACAGGUUCCUGCCUGAGAGCACAGUAGCUUCAGGUCCUUCUUCUACCUCUUGGAUCGAAGAGCAAUUGACCUUCCCUGUUCCUGUCAGUGAUGGUCUAACUUCCAGAUCUAAAAUCAAUGCUUGGGCUGGAGUCGUGGUUCAGUGGUAGAGAGCUUGCCUGGCAUGUGUGAGGCCCUGGGUUUGAU